GGCUGGGUGGCAGAGCGGUUAUGCAGAGGACUGCAAAUCCUUGUAGGUCGGUUCGACUCCGGUCCCAGCCUCCA
rnacentral:tRNA from 1 species